AGAGUUUGAUCCUGGCUCAGGAUGAACGCUAGCGGCAGGCCUAAUACAUGCAAGUCGAACGGUGAUAGCAAUAUCAUAGUGGCGCACGGGUGCGUAACACGUAUGCAACCUACCUAUUAUUGGGGGAUAGCCUUUGGAAACGGAGAUUAAUACCGCAUAAUACGAUUGACUGGCAUCGGUUGAUUGUUAAAGCUUAGGCGAUAAUAGAUGGGCAUGCGUCCAAUUAGUUAGUUGGUUAGGUAACGGCUGACCAAGACGAUGAUUGGUAGGGGAUCUGAGAGGAUAAUCCCCCACACUGGCACUGAGAUACGGGCCAGACUCCUACGGGAGGCAGCAGUAGGGAAUAUUGGGCAAUGGGCGGAAGCCUGACCCAGCCAUGCCGCGUGCAGGAAGAAGGCGUUAUGCGUUGUAAACUGCUUUUUUAUAGGAAGAAGGAUCCCUUGCGAGGGAAGGUGACGGUACUAUAAGAAUAAGCACCGGCUAACUCCGUGCCAGCAGCCGCGGUAAUACGGAGGGUGCGAGCGUUGUCCGGAUUUAUUGGGUUUAAAGGGUGCGUAGGCGGUUUAUUAAGUCAGUGGUGAAAGACGGUCGCUCAACGAUUGCAGUGCCAUUGAUACUGGUA
rnacentral:rRNA from 1 species